GACGAACGCUGGCGGCGUGCUUAACACAUGCAAGUCGAACGAUGAAGCCUAGCUUGCUAGGUGGAUUAGUGGCGAACGAGUGAGUAAUACGUGAGUGACCUACCUUUGACUCUGGGAUAAGCCUGGGAAACUGGGUCUAAUACCGGAUACGACCAAUCUCUGCAUGGGGUGUUGGUGGAAAGCGUUAUGGAGUGGUUUUAGAUGGGCUCACGGCCUAUCAGCUUGUUGGUGAGGUAAUGGCUUACCAAGGCGACGACGGGUAGCCGGCCUGAGAGGGUGACCGGCCACACUGGGACUGAGACACGGCCCAGACUCCUACGGGAGGCAGCAGUGGGGAAUAUUGCACAAUGGGCGCAAGCCUGAUGCAGCGACGCCGCGUGAGGGAUGACGGCCUUCGGGUUGUAAACCUCUGUUAGCAUCGAAGAAGCGAAAGUGACGGUAGGUGCAGAGAAAGCGCCGGCUAACUACGUGCCAGCAGCCGCGGUAAUACGUAGGGCGCGAGCGUUGUCCGGAAUUAUUGGGCGUAAAGAGCUUGUAGGCGGUUGGUCGCGUCUGCUGUGAAGGCCGGGGCUUAACUCCGGUUUUGCAGUGGGUACGGGCUAACUAGAGUGCAGUAGGGGAGACUGGAAUUCCUGGUGUAGCGGUGGAAUGCACAGAUAUCAGGAGGAACACCGAUGGCGAAGGCAGGUCUCUGGGCUGUAACUGACGCUGAGAAGCGAAAGCAUGGGGAGCGAACAGGAUUAGAUACCCUGGUAGUCCAUGCCGUAAACGUUGGGCACUAGGUGUGGGGGACAUUCCACGUUUUCCGCGCCGUAGCUAACGCAUUAAGUGCCCCGCCUGGGGAGUACGGCCGCAAGGCUAAAACUCAAAGGAAUUGACGGGGGCCCGCACAAGCGGCGGAGCAUGCGGAUUAAUUCGAUGCAACGCGAAGAACCUUACCAAGGCUUGACAUGCAUUAGAUCGCGUCAGAGAUGGCGUUUCCCUUCGGGGCUGGUGUACAGGUGGUGCAUGGUUGUCGUCAGCUCGUGUCGUGAGAUGUUGGGUUAAGUCCCGCAACGAGCGCAACCCUCGUUCUAUGUUGCCAGCGGUUCGGCCGGGGACUCAUAGGAGACUGCCGGGGUUAACUCGGAGGAAGGUGGGGAUGACGUCAAAUCAUCAUGCCCCUUAUGUCUUGGGCUUCACGCAUGCUACAAUGGCCGGUACAGAGGGUUGCGAUACUGUGAGGUGGAGCUAAUCCCUUAAAGCCGGUCUCAGUUCGGAUUGGGGUCUGCAACUCGACCCCAUGAAGUCGGAGUCGCUAGUAAUCGCAGAUCAGCAACGCUGCGGUGAAUACGUUCCCGGGCCU
rnacentral:rRNA from 1 species